rnacentral:rRNA from 1 species
GACGAACGCUGGCGGCGUGCUUAACACAUGCGAGUCGAACGGAAAGGCCCUGCUUGCGGGGUACUCGAGUGGCGAACGGGUGAGUAACACGUGGGUGAUCUGCCCUGCACUUCGGGAUAAGCCUGGGAAACUGGGUCUAAUACCGGAUAGGAGCCAUUUUUAGUGUGAUGGUUGGAAAGUUUUUUCGGUGUAGGAUGAGCUCGCGGCCUAUCAGCUUGUUGGUGGGGUAAUGGCCUACCAAGGCGGCGACGGGUAGCCGGCCUGGGAGGGUGGACGGCCAAAUUGGGGCUGGGAUAAGGCCCAGACUCCUACGGGAGGGAGGCGGGGGGAAUAAUGCAAAAUGGGCGCGAGGCUGAUGCAGCGAAGCCGCGGGGGGGAAGACGGCCUUCGGGUUGGAAACCCGUUUCGCUAGGGACGAAGCUUUUUGUGACGGUACCUAGAAAAGAAGCACCGGCUAACUACGUG